rnacentral:rRNA from 1 species
UCGAGAAUUUUUCUCAAUGGGCGAAAGCCUGAAGGAGCGACGCCGCGUGGGGGAUGAAGGGUUUCGAUCCGUAAACCCCUGUCAUUUGCGAACAAAGGUUAUUCAAUAACACUGGAUAAUUUGAUAGUAGUGAAAGAGGAAGGGACGGCUAACUCUGUGCCAGCAGCCGCGGUAAUACAGAGGUCCCGAGCGUUGUUCGGAUUCACUGGGCGUAAAGGGUGCGUAGGUGGUGGUGCAAGUUUGAUGUGAAAUCUCCGGGCUUAACCUGGAAAUGGCAUUGAAUACUGCAUUGCUUGAGGUUUGGAGGGGGGACUGGAAUUCUCGGUGUAGCAGUGAAAUGCGUAGAUAUCGAGAGGAACACCAGUGGCGAAGGCGAGUCCCUGGACAAAACCUGACACUGAGGCACGAAAGCUAGGGGAGCAAACAG